rnacentral:snoRNA from 1 species
AUGGAGGUGAUGAUUAUUUCCCCAGAUGAUCGAAGCUGAACAAACUGAGCGAUUUUUUCUCUUUCGAGAGAUCCAAGCCAGAUUUCUGAUCCAU